GGGACGGUAGCAUAACGGUUAAUGCACACAGCAUACAAUUCUUGGAAUGAAUUCACACUAUCGAUCUCAGUUCGAAUCUGAGCCGUUCCA